rnacentral:lncRNA from 1 species
CCAGAGCUCUCUGAUGUCCCCAGAGCUCUCCGUUGUCCCCAGCCCUGAGGAGGCCACUCCAGAUUUGGGGUGAAAUCCUUUAAUUGGUCAACUUUGGGACCCCCUGGAGGCUCCUCGGGGACAUCCCAUGGACACCACGGUGGCUUUGGGGACAUCCCAUGGACACCACGGUGGCUCCUCAGGGACAUCCCAUGGACACCAUGGUGGCUUUGGGGACAUCCCAUGGGCACCAGGGUGGCUUUGGGGACAUCUCGUUGUCACCCUGGAGGCUCCUCAGGGACAUCCCAUGGACACCACGGUGGCUUUGGGGACAUCUCGUUGUCACCAUGGCGAACCCUUGGGGACAUCCCACGGACACCACGGUGGCUUUGGGGACAUCCCAUGGACACCACGGUGGCUUUUGGGGACAUCCCAUGGACACCACGGUGG